CCUACGGGAGGCAGCAGGGAGGAAUAUUGGGCAAUGGGCGAAAGCCUGACCCAGCAACGCCGCGUGAAGGAUGAAAGCCUUCGGGUUGUAAACUUCUUUUAGGGGAGACGAGAAAGGACGGUAUCCCCUGAAUAAGCAACGGCUAACUACGUGCCAGCAGCCGCGGUAAUACGUAGGUUGCGAGCGUUAUCCGGAUUCGUUGGGCGUAAAGAGCUUGUAGGUGGCUAUGUAAGUUGGACGUGAAAACUCCGGGCUUAACUUGGAGAAGCCGUUCAAUACUGCGUAGCUUGAGUGUGUCAGAGGGAAGUGGAAUUCCUGGUGUAGCAGUGAAAUGCGUAGAUAUCAGGAGGAACACCCGUGGCGAAGGCGGCUUCCUGGGACACAACUGACACUGAGAAGCGAAAGCUAGGGGAGCAAACGGGAUUAGAAACCCCGGUAGUCCUAGCUGUAAACGAUGGAUGCUAGGUGUGAGCAGAACUAACCCUGCGCGUGCCGAAGCUAACGCGUUAAGCAUCCCGCCUGGGAACUACGAGCGCAAGCUUAAAACUCAAAGGAAUUGACGG
rnacentral:rRNA from 1 species